GACGAACGCUGGCGGCGUGCCUAAUACAUGCAAGUAGAACGCACAGUUUAUACCGUAGCUUGCUACACCAUAGACUGUGAGUUGCGAACGGGUGAGUAACGCGUAGGUAACCUGCCUGGUAGCGGGGGAUAACUAUUGGAAACGAUAGCUAAUACCGCAUAAUAUUAAUUAUUGCAUGAUAAUUAAUUGAAAGGUGCAAUUGCACCACUACCAGCUGGACCUGCGUUGUAUUAGCUAGUAGGUGAGGUAACGGCUCACCUAGGCGACGAUACAUAGUCGACCUGAGAGGGUGAUCGGCCACACUGGGACUGAGACACGGCCCAGACUCCUACGGGAGGCAGCAGUAGGGAAUCUUCGGCAAUGGACGAAAGUCUGACCGAGCAACGCCGCGUGAGGGAAGAAGGUUUUCGGAUCGUAAAGCUCUGUUGUAAGAGAAGAACGGGUGUGAGAGUGGAAAGUUCACACUGUGACGGUAUCUUACCAGAAAGGGACGGCUAACUACGUG
rnacentral:rRNA from 1 species